UACGUAGGGGGCAAGCGUUGUCCGGAAUCAUUGGGCGUAAAGAGCGUGUAGGCGGCUCGAUAAGUCUGCUGUGAAAGUCCAGGGCUCAACCCUGGAAGGCCGGUGGAAACUGUCGGGCUAGAGUCCGGAAGAGGCGAGUGGAAUUCCCGGUGUAGCGGUGAAAUGCGCAGAUAUCGGGAGGAACACCGGUGGCGAAGGCGGGAUCCUGGGCCAGUACUGACGCUGAGGAGCGAAAGCGUGGGGAGCAAACAGG
rnacentral:rRNA from 1 species